rnacentral:rRNA from 1 species
GACGAACGCUGGCGGCGCGCUUAAUACAUGCAAGUCGAGCGAGAACCAGAGCUUCGGCUCUGGGGACAGCGGCGAACGGGUGAGUAACACGUGAGUAAUCUGCCCUCGGCACCGGGAUAGCCCGGGGAAACCCGGAUUAAUACCGGAUAGCCUCUCGAGCUUUCGGGCUCGUGAGAAAAGGUAGCUUCGGCCUCUGGCCGGGGAGGAGCUCGCGGCGGAUUAGCUUGUUGGUGGGGUAACAGCUCACCAAGGCGACGAUCCGUAGCUGGUCUGAGAGGACGAUCAGCCACACUGGGACUGAGACACGGCCCAGACUCCUACGGGAGGCAGCAGUAGGGAAUCUUGCGCAAUGGGCGAAAGCCUGACGCAGCGACGCCGCGUGCGGGAAGAAGGCCUUCGGGUUGUAAACCGCUUUCAGGAGGGACGAAGCCACUCGGGUUAAUAGCCCAGAGGGUGACGGUACCUCCAGAAGAAGCCCCGGCUAACUACGUGCCAGCCGCCGCCGUAAUAC